rnacentral:rRNA from 1 species
UACGUAGGCAGCAAGCGUUGUUCGGAGUUACUGGGCGUAAAGGGUGUGUAGGCGGUUGUUUAAGUUUGGGGUGAAAUCUCCCGGCUCAACCGGGAGGGUGCGCCGAAUACUGAAUAACUAGAGUGCGGGAGAGGAAAGUGGAAUUCCUGGUGUAGCGGUGAAAUGCGUAGAUAUCAGGAGGAACACCGGUGGUGUAGACGGCUUUCUGGACCGUAACUGACGCUGAGACACGAAAGCGUGGGUAUCAAACAGG